CUGCCAAAAUUUCACCCAAAAUUUCUUUCCCUCCUUCCAUUCCCCUCUCAAAUUUAAGAAGCCUCCUCUCCUUCCACACGAUAACCCACACAGCCUCCAACACCCUACCUAACCCGUCUUCUUCGUUGAAGCUCUACCGCCACGCAAAACUCCGGCUAACCUCUGCCAUCACGUAUCUUCUACAGGUCUCCGACGACCUGUUUUCAUCUUCGCUACUUGUUUCAUGCCUCCGUCGCUCUCUCUGUCACCAGUCUCUCCGCCGCGCACGACCUACCUUUCGUCUAACCUCUGUCGUCAGUCUAAGGAAAGGUUCCUUCCCUUCUCAAAUCUAAGGAAAGGUUCUUUCCCUUACGACUGCAGCCCUACAAUAUAUUUCUGCUUUCAUUUCACAGAGAUUGAGAACUUAAGUUCUGGAACGGUUCGAGAAAUAAGUAUUGUGUUGAAUGACAUCUACUCCAUUGCACCAUCUAUAAUUCUCUAGUAUCUCGUACCACGAACCAUCACAACUUCCGCUGUUAUCCCUGUUAAUCUCAAUGAAGAGAAUUACUUGCGGAUUUUCGCUGCUUUCGAUUCGAAACUUCCUCCCUGGUUUGAGGUUUUUUACUUAGCAAACCUCUAUUAUUCACCUACAUUCUCACAGUAUGGAACUUGAGUAGGAGCAAUUUAACAGGAGAGAUCCCAUUUUCCAUCUUGAAUCUCACUCAGUUGGAGACUCUCGAUUUAACUGGUAAUAAUCUUGGUGGCACAGUUUAUGUGUGUAUAGGUGCCCAGAAUAAACGUUGUAUUCUGUGUAUAGGUGUCUAUUUUCGUCCAACCAGGUCUCUAUAGGAUGAUUAUCUAGAUUGUUUUGGCGAUCUGGAAACCAUAGGAAAGGUGGGAACAUACAUUGAAGAUUUCCUUUAAACUCCAGAUUGCCUUCCAACAAUCUUACUUUCUCUUCAAGAUCAUUGUUUAGUGAAGCUUUUCCACAUUUUUGGCAAGUUUUUUUCUUUCCAAGUUUGCAUCAGAAAGUGAACUCUUUAGAAGUGUGUUUUUCUCUAACUGUCCCUCUAAGUUUUCAAUUGCCAUUUGCAAUCUAGUUUAGCAUGGUAUAGUUACUAAACUAGAUUAUUAAGCCAAUGACUAUGAGAUUACUAUAUCAGCUUCUGUUAGACAUCCUGAUUAAUCAAUGUCAAGCUUCUUAAAAGUGUGAAGUAUGGGAGAAAUGUCUUCCUGAUUGGUCUUUACCAUUUCCUUUAGUUUAUAUAUGAUAAAUUAUGCAGCACUGAUACAGCAAAUUGCCAAUAAGCCUCAUGAUACAUGCAAGAAUGGAAUCAAAAUAGAAGUCAUUGUCAAGACUUGGGUAAUGGGAAAUAAAUCAAGUGGAACACGAGGAUGAAAGAAAUGUGAAGGUAAAUCAAGCUGACCUUACUACUUUAUCAUGAUCAAGGUCUACUUCUUCAAGAUCUGAAUAUGUGAGGCUUCGAUUAAGAACCCAAUUAACCAGUGAUUCUUGUCUCCUUUCUGCGUGUAAUUCUGCAAGGUACAGAAAAAACCGUGCUAAGCAGAUCGUUGUGUUUUUCUCUAACUGUCCCUCUAAGUUGGUUGCCUUUAACUUUACUUUUUUCCUUAUCUCAUUUCUUGAGAUGUGUUGUUGCGCAAUGUAUUUGUUAUCGUUGGAGAAUUUUAUUUUACCUUUUCUAAAAUUGUUUUAUAAUUGUCUCGCAAUGCAGAAUGACAUAAGCGUUCAAUAUUGAUUUUAACAGUGUACUUUUGAACAAUUGAUAUUUCUGAGGUUGAAGAAAAUCUUUUUGCUACAAGUGAUGCCAAGGUAAAUGAACUGAAGUAUCGUGCAGUGAUGGAAGGCCAAUGAAACAAGGACAACAUUUUCUCAUUUGAACAGUCAUGGAUUUAGUUUUAUGAAUCAAAUUCAUCUUGGACAUUGUGAUGUGUACAUUUUGGAACCUAAUAUAUUUGUAAAAUUUUCUUCUACAAGGUUUAAGAUUUUCAAUUAGUUAAGAUAUAUAUCUUAUUCAGGCUAUUAAUAUAUAUGUAUUGUUGGAUAGUUUUGCUUUUAUGGUUGUUGUUCUGAGUGCAUUGCUUAUUCGUGGAAUUGGUCAUAAUCUUCAGAGGGCAUACUAUCAAAGUUUGAAACUGCUAAAAGUUAAAUUAUCAAAAAACUCAGGUGAAUGAAAUGGAGUCGUCUUAACUAAAGGACUAAAGAACCAAUGAUGACAGUUAGCUCAUAUAAUCUUGUACACUUAUGAUGAACUUUGUUUGUAUUUUGAGGGUUAAUUUGUGUGGUUGGUACAUUUAGAUUGCAACAUUCAUUAAGUAAAUUACUGGUUAGUAUUUUAUUUUGUAAUUUUAAUACAUUAUGAAUGGAAGUUAUUAGUA